rnacentral:snRNA from 1 species
AUCGCUUCUCGGCCUUUUGGCUAAGAUCAAGUGUAGUAUAUAUAAAACAUAUCUAGAUCAACACAGGUAUAUUUGCCAAUUUGUUAUAUAUGUUUGAUAAACAAUUUAUAUUCAAGCAUUACACAAGUGUGUAUUGUAAUAUAUCU